CAGAUAUGCAUGAUGAGUAUAGUUUCCAGAUGGUGGAGAAAUAAUUGUUCUUUUUGUUCGAGGAACCAAAAUCGACGAGAAAAUUUCAAUUGCGCUUGGCGGGAAAAAUGGCUUCAAUUUUGAUUGAAAUUUAUAUCGGAGGAAGAAAAUAUUGAUGUGUAUCUGCAAGAAUGGAGGUGGCUGCAAACAAAAAGAGUGGUUGUGCAGUCGUUCAAGAACAGACCCUUCCAUUUCGCUUGCACACAAAGAUUCCAGAUAAUUACACUGGUCUUCCAAACAAGGGACAGUGUUCCAAGGAAGGGUUCACUUCAAACAUGGAGACCUGUAAAAAAGAGAUGGAUCUGCUUCUUUGUGAAGCUGUUGAUACCUUGUUGAAGAAACAACCAUCCGUUCUGUCUCAGCAUUGCCAAGACAUGACGCGCAUUUGUCCUCAUAAUUUCUCGGCCACCCUGUCAAUGUUGGUGGACCGAUCUUGCAGUUUACAAGUUUCAAACGCACAGCUUGUGGUGAGUAACCUUGAAUGCUGACCUUGUGGAUUUAUUUAGCCUAAUACUUAGCACAGGCUGAACUAUUUUUUUGGCCAAUCCCCUCCGGUCUUUACACAGUCUUGGUACUGACUUGCAGUGGCACUUCCUCAUGUUGUCAUGAUUCUGAUGAUGUCGAUGCAUUGUUUCUUCUGACAUAAUCUUAGACUUUCUGGCUCUUUUUCAGGCACCUGCAUCUCAUAAUCAAUGUUACUUUGUAACAUUAACUGAGCAGUUACAGGCUCUGAUACUCCUCUUGGACGUGUUGGCUCGUGAUUCAAAGAUGUUGGAGGGUGCAACAGGGCAUAAAUGGAUGGCGUACAAGUGGGGGGGGGGGGGGGGGGGGGGGGGCGGGGGGGGGGGGGGGGGGCCGGGGGGGCCCCCCCCCUUGCGAUGGGCCUGGACUGACGUCACACUGAACCUCCGUUUCCUCUUCCGGGGCGUGGCUUGCUCGCACGAAAACCCAGGAAGGCGGGGCCUCCACCCACUCGGCACGUUUGGCGAGCUUCUGACGUCCCGACCAUCAAUCAUCAGUCUUGGGGGCGUGACUUCACCAGCCAUCACCCUCGGAGCUAACCUAAAAGAAUUGCUCAACUGUUUCCUUCCUGUUGCGGAGAGGAGCAUUGAAGAAAUGGGCAGUCUUGGCUUCGAUAUUUCUCCUUUCAGUGAGAGCUAUAAGGAGGACACGCCACUUGUUCUAACCCUACGUUCCCACAUUGCAUCUCUUCAGCAACACGAGAAAGCAAAUGCUUUAAAGACAAAGAUUGCACCAAAGUGUGACCAGCAACCACUCAAGACAGGAUGUGUAGUAAGUUUACUUCCUUCUUUCUAUAUGGAAAACCAAGUAAAUUGCCAAUUACAUAUGUAUUAUAUAUGUACAAGAGGUGGAUGGAGGGUUGGUAUCAGUUGAUAUUCCUUCUUCGUUCCUCUUUUUACAUAUGCCUCAUGUUUCCCCUAAUUGGCUUGUACUCUUUCAGACAUUUUACAAUAGCACAGAUAUGAGAUUAUUGAUAAUCUCUUUGAACUACACCAAAUGAUCUUCUUCCUAUAACUUGAGUUCAAAGACAUUGUAAGUUUGAUUGUUUUGCUGUGAUUUAAUUUAUUUUUUUCUUUUUCAACAUUCAUCCGGUUCCUUUUUGUCGGCCUUGUUCAUAGGUCAGCCAUGUUAAACCAAGAAUAAAUGCCAGUGGAAGAAUUGUGAAGACAGGAAUUGUGAGUAAAUCUUCACAAAGAAAAAGGGAAAGCACUUCAAGGCCUGAACUAUUUAGUUGGUCGGUAUGUGCACUGGCUCCAAAAUUGCCCAGACCAGAAGUCCUAAUGAACAGCAACGAUGACCACUGCACGAGCAACAAUGCCGAUGUUGGUGACAAAUGCCUCAUCAGUAAUAAUACUAAUAAUAAUGCUGAGCAGGGUUCAGUCGCGAAGACCACACAGGCAUCCCAGUCUUUGCAGCAUGGGCCUACAUCCGCACAAACAGUUUUAAAGUGUCAACAUCUGCCUGAAAUUCAACAUUCCACAAUGGCUGCCACCAAAAUGUGUCUGGGUUCUAAAAGGCCUCUCGUGGUGCACAAUCCCAACACUCGCGCCAAGGUUGAACCAAGGCAGCAGAAGCAACUCAAGCAGUUGACCUUGAGCAACUGGAAGCUAUCAUAAGUUGCCAAUCCGAUUUUGUUACCAUUCUUUUGGAAUGGAAAGGAAGGUGACACUUUGACUUUCAUAAUAAAUGCUGUUUUCCACAACCUUGCCUUGGACAAAAUGUAUUUUUGAAAAUUUGUUUCACAUCGUAACAGUUUUGUUUGUCACUUUGAACCACAAGUUGCAGCACUUUACAGUGCAUAUGUUGAAAUGCUAUGCAAGCAGAUAUGAAAUGUUAUUUUCAAACUUAUUUAUCUUUUACUUUUGGUUUGUUUUUCAUGUUUUAUUUACAUGUUUAUUGUUCUUUUAAGUGUAAAUCUGCUCUUCAUUCCUGAUAAGUGAUAAAUCACUUUGCUUGUAAACCUCAAUUUUGGGAUUUUCUCUGAUAGUACUUUUGAGCCUCGUUCGUUGAUGCGGUUUUACAAAUCCUUCAUUAUGACCUUUUGGUUCAUCUCCUGAAUUGAGUUGAUUCCUUUUAUGUCUUAAUAGUUGGAUCAUUUCACUCAUGGUUAAUAAAAAUUUGUAUGAUGUUGCUUGUGACUCAUUUUGCUUUUGUGAAACCCCACCACCCUCCAUGUUUUAUAUAUUGUGUACCCUUGAUAUAAAUCCUUCUUUUUUGUAUGUUUUCCAAUUGGCUCUGCUGCUGAUGCAAUUCUCUCUGUAAGGGAUGGCAGGAAUUUGUAAUUUGCUCAUGGUGCCGGUGUUAGCUCGCCUACUCCUAACGAAGGACAUCGUGUGAUCUUUAACAUCCACCAACUACCAUAAUGCCGACAGACGGGACACCAGUUUUAACGUUUAUCCGAAGGAUGGCACACACAUUGAUGAAUCACCCUGCCUGGCUUUUUUACUUACGAAAUCUAAAGAUUUCGUGUAAGUGUAUUGAUGGUUUCCGUCCUCUGUUUGUGUUUGUUUGUAGGCACGAUAACUCGAGAACGGAAGAAGCUACCAAUGUCAAAUUAUACCACGUGAUUCAGGAGGGUGAUGGCUAGCGCUGAUUAGAUUUUGGUCAAAAUCGGUCAAAGGUCAAGGUCACAGUGAGGUCAAACAUCCAAAACAUGAUAACUCCAGAAAAGUUACCACAGGUAUUGUUGACGGAGCGUGAGUUUGGAAGAUCGAGGUAAGUUCAGCGGAAUUUGUGUGUCAAUUUGUCGAGUUAUGGCUGUUUUAAAAAUUUCAGUGUUAUAAAAUAAUAUUAAAUAAUUCCGUAAAUUCCUGUGGAGAAAUGGAGUAUUUUUGCUUCGCUCGACGUUACGAGUUUGUCUUAACUUCGAUUUUAAUUUUGUCUUCGGUUUUUGCGAUCGCUUAGGACGCUUAACACUCGAUUGUCGAAAUUCUGGUAAAAAUCAGAUGUUUUGGAGACGUUUUAAGAUCGUAUAAAAAUAUUUCACCCGCCGCGUCACGGCUCGUCACGUGGUGCAGCACGCUCGAGCAGACGCGUGGUUGAAUCAUGUAAAGGUUUUGCGUGUGCGCGCUGACGUCAUCGCGCUCGCCCCAGUGUCCUUUCAAGUUGGGGGGGGGGGCGUCGAGUGUGACCUUUACAUUACGUUAAUCCGCGGUAACUGGAGAACGGAAGAAGUUGAUGGUUUGGUACAGAAUCAUCGUAGAAACUUCUGGUUUGCGUCGCUACCUUCUCUUGAGACAGCUUUUAUGAGACAAGGUCAGAGGUGAAGUUGACGAUUUCGUAAGUACCAGUCUAUGACUGCUUGUUUGUUUGUUUGUAUGCAGCCUGUGGCUGCUUGGCUGCAUCAUUUUCUGGGGGCAUGGCUGUGCCG
ensembl:lincRNA